rnacentral:rRNA from 1 species
AACACGUGAGUAAACUGCCUCAAAGAGGGGGAUAGCCUUCCGAAAGGAAGAUUAAUACCGCAUAACAUACAGAGAUCACAUGUUCUCUGUAUCACAGGAGCAAUCCGCUUUGAGAUGGACUCGCGGCGCAUUAGCUAGUUGGUAGGGUAACGGCCUACCAAGGCGACGAUGCGUAGCCGACCUGAGAGGGUGAUCGGCCACAUUGGGACUGAGACACGGCCCAGACUCCUACGGGAGGCAGCAGUGGGGAAUAUUGCGCAAUGGGCGAAAGCCUGACGCAGCAACGCCGCGUGGGUGAUGACGGUCUUCGGAUUGUAAAACCCUGUCUUCAGGGACCAUAAUGACGGUACCUGAGGAGGAAGCCACGGCUAACUACGUGCCAGCAGCCGCGGUAAUACGUAGGUGGCAAGCGUUGUCCGGAUUUACUGGGCGUAAAGGGUGCGU